CUAGUAACGGCGAGUGAAGCGGCAACAGCUCAAAUUUGAAAUCUGGCGCAAGCCCGAGUUGUAAUUUGUAGAGGAUGCUUCUAGGCAGCGGCCGGUCUAAGUUUCUUGGAACAGGACGUCAUAGAGGGUGAGAAUCCCGUAUGCGACCGGCUGGCACCUUACACGUAGCUCCUUCGACGAGUCGAGUUGUUUGGGAAUGCAGCUCUAAAUGGGUGGUAAAUUUCAUCUAAAGCUAAAUACCGGCCAGAGACCGAUAGCGCACAAGUAGAGUGAUCGAAAGAUGAAAAGCACUUUGGAAAGAGAGUUAAAAAGCACGUGAAAUUGUUGAAAGGGAAGCGCUUGCAACCAGACUUGUUAGCGGUGUUCCGCCGGUCUUCUGACCGGUCCACUCGCCGUCUACAGGCCAGCAUCGUCUGGGGCCGCCGGAUAAAGACGUAGGGAAUGUGGCACUCCUUCGGGGGUGUGUUAUAGCCUUACGUGCAAUACGGCGUGGCCCGGGCGAGGUCCGCGCUUCGGCUAGGAUGCUG
rnacentral:rRNA from 1 species